GGAUGGGUAUUGGGACAUCCUUCAGGCGUACUUGGCGAAUUGCACCGACCUGUGGGGAGUCACACAUGUUGCUUGACAUCACGCUUACGGUUUGGAGGGGGGAAGCAGUAGUUUGGCAGCUUGGUCGAGGAUCUCGGGACUCACAGCCAUCUCAACCAACAAGUAAACAGCUUUACCAUCGGUCAGCAUACAGUAGUUGAGAGACGACCAUUCCGCCCCCACUGCUUCCCCGAAGAUGAACGAUUUUGCCAAGGGCCUUGAUCUCGUUGCCACACAUUUCAGCCUCAGAGGGCUACACUAUCAAAUUGAAAACACUGCCACACUAGAGAGGAUAACUGGCUAACGGUGACGGUAGGCCUAUCCCGAAUCCGGGGGUUGAUGGGAAAACCGCUGAUCACCAGCGACAUAACCCAGCAAUACCCAUCCCCCACCCUUGACUGACUUUUGAAAUCCAACCCACGGUGACUUCAACCGUCACUUUUCUGUCCUGUCAUGCAUCUGACUGUGUAAGCUGUACAAACUCUGCUGUCAUCAUAUCCAAGGUGGUGAUUUGUGAGGACUGCUGCCCUGAGAACACAGUGCAUUCUGCAUGCCAAAUCAAUGUGUGCCACUACCAGUGUGCCAAAAGUUUCUACCUGGAGAGUGUAGCCUACUCACUGUUUGUGUGGAAAAACUCAACUUUAAUAAAAGGUUAAACAAAUAUUUUGUGUGUUUUCUUUGGAACAUCAACAAUGUUAUAUUUCUGAAAUAUACAUAUAUUGUGACAUAGCAGAACAUUACAUAUAUUUUGCAAUAUAUUUUUGAGUGCAAAUAUAUGUCCAUAGACAUAUAUUUGCAAUAUAUUGGUAUCCCUAGUAUGCGUACAAAUACAUAACUUAUCAUAUAUUAACAUAUAUGCAACUGACAUAUAUUUGUAAUAUAUUUGUAUAUCUGGGAAAAUAAAUGUGACAUAUAUAAAAACGGCCAAUUUUGCUAUAUUUUGAAAUAUAUUUGACAUGUAUGUGUAUAUAUGUGACUUAUAUGUG